GACAGAGAGAGUUAACCAUUGCUAGGGGAGAGGCUCCUGAAGCCCAGACCCCAGGAUUUAGAGAUGGUGACCAUGGCUGAUGGCUGAGUGUCACAUGUCCGGGUCCAGUUCCAGCAAGUAUGCCACUUCGCAGAGUAGGAGCACGGGGACUCAUGGACUAGUGGUAUCCUUGUCAAAGCUGGUCCUCGACAGCCAUAUUGCUCCCAUCACAGGGGGAGGUGGAGACUUAAUGGGAAUGCAUUACAUACCAGAGUACAUCAGCUGCUUUGCAAGCAGAAGAGGCAUGGAGCCAUUUGAAACUCAACGACAAAUGUAUCCUUUGACAAGGGCCCUUCACUUCCUAAGAAAUAAAGGCGCUUUCCAGUGCCAAGGUGCGCGCUGGGAUGCCAGCAGCCGGCAGAGCCCCUGCAAAGCACAAACCAGAAGCGGCUGUGCAGGUCUGAUGUUAUCUCAGCUGCAUCCCAUUCCCCCGACAGCCCCAGCCUCCCUUUCUUGCUGGCAGUUUGUGUGAUACUUGGGGAGCUGGGUUGGGCUGUUUGGUUUGCUUCCUGUGUGAGGCGUCUGCACUCCUGGAGCCUAGCUUCCUAUUGAAAGUUCGUAUUUGGAGCCCGCCUGCCUGUCUUCCUGCGGAACGCCGCCGUGUACUGCUGCCUCUGCCCAGCCUGGUCCCACAAAGCGCCAGGAACAGCCUGUGGCAGAAGGACAAGCCCCUUGUCUCAGUUGAUCUCUCCCAGACACCGUCAGGGUCCUGACAAACGAACCCCCUUGCUCUAAUCUGCUGUUGCCAUCUGUUUCUGGCCUCUGUGUUUGGGGGCGUGGUCCUGGAAGGAUUCCUUUCUUCUGGUGAGCCAGCCCAUGCCCUCUGACUGCUGGGACCACUCCUGGAACGGAGGAGAGUAUGUCCCAGCACCACAGCCCUGGGUGUUGCUAACAGGGAUGGCUUCUCACAGCAGUUCCUGCUGAUCAGAAGUGACCCCCCAAGAUCCAGUAGGAAGGGGUUAUUUAUGUGACCUGGAAGUUUCCCUGCAGACUGUCGCUUCCUUCCAAGAGGGAAAAUUCUACCUUAUGGAGUGGAAAAGCCUAAGCAGGUGACCAAAUCUAACAUCAGCCUCUCCGGGCCACAGACACCCAGCACUUCUGGAAAUGACUGAGGCACCCAGGGUCAUACUCUUGCAACAUUCCAGCCCAGAGGGAGGUCAGAGCCCAGCGUGAGCCGGAGAAGAACGACACACCCCGCUGAAGGAAUGGUCUGUCAGAUAACUCAUCUGUGUCUUCUAAAGUUCCAGAGUUGCUGAUGUAAGCUAAAGGAAAGUCGCCUCCUGUCUGGUGGUGUGCAGCUGUGAUCCCAGCCCUCAGAAAGGCCAUGAAUUCAAGGCCAGCCUGGGCUACACAGUCAACCUGUCUCAAACACAAACCAAUAAACAAACGACAAGUCCAACUAGCGAAACGAGUGGGGAGAGAGCAAUAAUAGCUGUUUAGCUAAAGCAGAGUAAAGAUCCGGGUGUGGUGGCUCAUACCUGUAAUCCCAGCAAUUGGGAGACUGAAGCAGGGGGAUUGCUGGGUGCUCGAGGCUGCCUCAGACUGCACAGUGAGUGGCUACUGAGAUCUGGUAGCAGGGGUGAUGAGGGAAAAGGCUAGUGUGGUGACGUACAGUGGGGCAGAGCCCGGGGAAUUGGUAAGUUCAAUGCCUGGGCUUCCAAAUGAGAUGUGUGGCAGGAUGGCGGCAGGCCAGUGAUGUGUAGGAUGUAAAGGAAUUGAUGGGAAAGACAGAGGAGGAUGGAGGAGAAAGUUCCCUACCUUCAACCCCAUCUCUGGGAGGAGGGUGGAAGUCUUUUAGCAACUGGGCUUGGUUGUUUAGUCUUAUCUCACAGGCCACUUGUCUGGGUCUGUAUCAGAGGGGACAGGCGGGCUGUGUUGUUAGGCAGUAAAAUUUAAAGCUGAACUUAUUUGUCCUUCUGGGCUAUUUAGGGCCAAGUCCUGUGGGUCACUGGGAGUUAGGCUCUGCCUGUUUAUAAAAGAUGUGCCAAGUCACAGGGGCAGGAUCUGAAUGUUAAAAUUCGGGGAUUUUUGUCUUAUUUAAUUGUGAACGUUUUGUCUCUAAAUCCUAGCUCUAAAAAUAAAAGUACUGGCUUAAUGGUAAGUUUCCCAAAUCUGACUCCCAUCUGACUCCCAAAAGUUGCCCUCUGACAUGUGUGUAUGUGAGAGUGUGCAUGAGUGAGUGUAUGUGAGUGUGUGUGUGUGUGAGAGAGAGAGA